rnacentral:rRNA from 1 species
GAGUUUGAUCCUGCUCAGAUUGAACGCUGGCGGCAUGCCUUACACAUGCAAGUCGAACGGUAACGGGUCCUUCGGGAUGCCGACGAGUGGCGAACGGGUGAGUAAUAUAUCGGAACGUGCCCAGUAGUGGGGAGUAACUGCUCGAAAGAGCAGCUAAUACCGCAUACGACCUGAGGGUGGAAAGGGGGGGAGUCGCAAGACCUCUCGCUAUUGGAGCGGCCGAUAUCAGAUUAGCUAGUUGGUGGGGUAAAGGCCUACCAAGGCAACGAUCUGUAGUUGGUCUGAGAGGACGACCAGCCACACUGGGACUGAGACACGGCCCAGACUCCUACGGGAGGCAGCAGUGGGGAUUUUGGACAAUGGGCGCAAGCCUGAUCCAGCAAUGCCGCGUGCAGGAAGAAGG